rnacentral:rRNA from 1 species
UACGGAGGAUGCGAGCGUUAUCCGGAUUUAUUGGGUUUAAAGGGUGCGUAGGCGGAGUGUCAAGUCAGCGGUAAAAUUUCGGGGCUCAACCCCGUCGUGCCGUUGAAACUGACGCCCUUGAGUGAGUGAGAAGUAAGCGGAAUGCGUGGUGUAGCGGUGAAAUGCAUAGAUAUCACGCAGAACGCCGAUUGCGAAGGCAGCUUACCGGCGCUCAACUGACGCUGAGGCACGAAAGUGCGGGUAUCGAACAGG